AUUGAACGCUGGCGGCAGGCCUAACACAUGCAAGUCGAGCGAGCGGCGGACGGGUGAGUAAUGUAUGGGGACUGCCCGAUAGAGGGGGAUAACUACUGGAAACGGUGGCUAAUACCGCAUACUAUCGGAUAACCCAUAUGGGAUUAGCUAGUAGGUGGGGUAAAGGCUCACCUAGGCGACGAUUCCUAGCUGGUCUGAGAGGAUGAUCGGCCAAACUUGGACUGAGAAACGGCCCAGAAUCCUACGGAGGGAGAAGGGGGGAAAAUUGGACAAUGGGCGCAAGCCUGAUGGAGCCAUGCCGCGUGUAUGAAGAAGGCCUUAGGGUUGUAAAAGACUUUUAGGGGGGAAGCGUUACCCGAAGAAGAAGCACCGGCUAACUCCGUGCCAGCAGCCGCGGUAAUUC
rnacentral:rRNA from 1 species